rnacentral:rRNA from 1 species
AUACGGAGGAUCCGAGCGUUAUCCGGAUUUAUUGGGUUUAAAGGGUGCGCAGGCGGCCAUUUAAGUCAGCGGUUAAAUCGUGGGGCUCAACCCCAUUCUGCCGUUGAUACUGGGUGGCUUGAUUGCGGUCGAGGUUGGCGGAAUUCGUUGUGUAGCGGUGAAAUGCAUAGAUAUGACGAAGAACACCGAUUGCGUAGGCAGCUGACCAGACCGAAAAUGGCGCUCAUGCACGAAAGUGCGGGGAUCGAACAGGAUUAGAUACCCUGGUAGUCCGCACAGUAAACGAUGAAUACUUGUUUUCGGCGAUAUAAUGUCGGAGGCAAAGCGAAAGCGAUAAGUAUUCCCCCUGGGGAGUACGCCGGCAACGGUGAAACUCAAAUGAAUUGACGGGG